rnacentral:lncRNA from 1 species
CGCAUUUGUAUUCAUUAGAUAAAACAAAUAUGUAUAUGGAUAUGCUGGUACCCGAUCCAUAUUUGAUCUGGUUUUAGCCCUAGGUGGUGAUGAGGAACUAAGAUCUUUGUGUGAUAUGGUAUAGAGCUCAUUCUUUCUUGCUAUGAUGGUUGGCCCAAUAGCAUUACUCCUUAUUGGCAACAUUGGUGGGGCGGCUAGGAAGGCCUGAUGCUAUGCAAGCAACCGCUGUAGCUACCAGCUAUAUAGAAGAGUGCAGAGGCGAGGAAGAAAGGGGGUUCUCCCUCUCCCUCUAUGUCAUAAUGGUAGAUCAAAGGCGAUUCUGAGUCUGUCUCCCUUCUCUUUCUUUAUCCAAGGUAUAUCAUUGUCCUUUCAGCUUUUGCUCAUUUUCCUUCCCAUUCUAGUUUAUUUUCUACAAAAAAUUUAAUUUUCAAUCUUGCAACCCCUUAAAUUUGAAGUGAUUUUUAGAAGAUCGAAUACCUAUUUUUAUACAAGGGUUUUGGCAAUUUAGGGAUUUUGCAUAAAGGAAUCCACUUAAUUAUUAUUUUCACCUUUUCUCCAAGGGUUGCCAAUGGAGAAAAGGGUUCAAAUCCUGGGUAUCAUUUAUUUUCUAUAAAAAAAUCCGAAUGUUAACUCAAUUUCACCUUCCUUCGCUCCCAUCCUCCAUGGAUCACCCAUUGCACAGUUUUUAAAAUACUUCGAACUCCUUCAUUCAUCUGCCUACAUAGAUCUCAAAGAAAGCAAUGGAUGAUCCAAUGAGGGACUCCAUGAAGAAGAUGAACCCUUCUUUCACAUGAAAGAUACAACCUCAAUCCUGAGGUUGCAUUUGGUAGCUGCCAAUCUAUCCAGAUUGCUGGCAAUUUAAAGUUGGCCCAUCGGAUUAUUGUGUUUGGUAUGCUUUUUAGAUGGCAAUCCAGAUUGUCUUAACAAUCUACAUUGCCUCUCGAGAGGCAAUCUAGAUAGUCUUAGGGAGGGGUGGCUAUCCAGAUUACUACUUCUUUGGCAAUGUUGUAAAAAAAUUUUGGGACAAAAUUAUCCUUAAAAAAAUUCACAUAAAACCCUUGGAUCCUCUGCCCUCGUCCCGUCCCCCCCCUUCAUGGCUUUGUGCUCAUCCCCACCACUCCCCCCGUGUGAUGUAUCCCGACGUGCACUCCUCCGUCAGCCCAUAGCACUCGCGCACUGCUGCUUCCACCACCUCCAUCUUCUCUUCCCCCUCAUUGCUCAUCACUAUCUUUGGCAUCCUUUCUAAUCCCAAAUCCAAAAAAGAAAUUUGAGGUUUGGGCCGAUGGAUGAGAGAUCCAACUCAGUGUUGUAACCUAUCAAUGAUCAAUUUCUUUCUGAUUGAUGAAAGUACUUAUUCAUCAAUUAAAAAAAAAAGAUAGAAGAGGACCAAAACAAAAUUAUUGGGCAUAUUAUGGGAAUUUUAUUUCAUAUUACCGGUAAUCAGAUUGGCAUACCAAAUAUAUCAAUCAAGAUUUUCAGUAAUUUUAUUGCAACAUUACCUGCGUAGAUCAAACAUAAUAAUCAACAUUACUGAUAAUUUAAUGGUGGUAAUCUAUCUUGAAGGCAAUCCACAUUAUCUUCCAAGAUUGCCUGAUGAUGCACCAAACGCAACCUAAGGCUUUAGGAUGAGGCGGUGCAAUGGCUGGUGGCUUUAUUCUGAUAGAAGCUGCCUUCUUCUGCUCCUCUCCCAAGCUGAUGAUUCCUAAUCCUCUACACUUAUUCUCUCUCUCUCUCUCUCUCUCUCUCUGCGCGCGCGCGCGCAUGUGUGUGUACAUGCAUGCUUUUUUAAGAGGCAAUGAUGAGGAACUGAGAUCUUUGUAUGAUAUGGUGUAGAGCUCAUUCUUUCUUGCUAUGAUGUUUGGGCCCUGUAGCAUCUCUUUCUUGGCAAUGGUGGCUGGGCAGCUUGGAAGGUCUGAUGCUCCACAGGCAACCACUGCAGCCUCCAGCUGUAUAGAAGAGUGCAGAGAUGAGGAAGCAACUCGGAUCUCCUCGCCCUAUGCCAUAAUGGCGGAUCAAAGGCAACUCUGAGCCUCA